AUCCUUUGGUGGUUCAUAAGAUGAUGAAUAGGGUUUUCACACUAUUGUGUGAUAUGUGCCUCCCUCAAGUAUUGUUACAAUGUCAACAUGUUACACUAGAAAUA
rnacentral:snoRNA from 14 species